CACGGCCUACGGGGCGCAGCAGUGAGGAAUAUUGGUCAAUGGCCGAGAGGCUGAACCAGCCACGUCGCGUGAGGGAAGAAUGUCCUAAGGAUUAUAAACCUCUUUUGCCGGGGAGCAAAAAGGCUCUGCGGAGUCGUAUUGAGAGUACCCGAAGAAAAAGCAUCGGCUAACUCCGUGCCAGCAGCCGCGGUAAUACGGAGGAUGCGAGCGUUAUCCGGAUUUAUUGGGUUUAAAGGGUGCGAAGGCGGCGUGUCAAGCAAGCGGUAAAAUAGCGGGGCUCAACCCCGUCGAGCCGUUUGAACUGG
rnacentral:rRNA from 1 species